rnacentral:lncRNA from 1 species
GGGUGACUCAGUAGCCUGGUAAGGAGGUCAGAAGUUCCCCUGGAUUCAAGUUAGAGGACCCAAGCCCAUGGUCUAGGAAGAAAUAGCACACUUGGGUGGACAGCCGGUGGGGCUUGGAGUGCCUGGAUAUGAAGUGCCUCGGAGAAUGGGGACUCCUCCAGUGAGGAGGUGGGGCUUCAGAGUCAGGUACAGAUCGGUUUGAGUUCCAUUCCUGCCCUACUCUGUGGCCUCAGACACUCUUCACCUUCUUUUCUGCAAUGAUUCUCCAGAAUCUCUGCUCAUGAAAAAGUGAAGGGGAGGUACCCCAGUCCUUAUCACCCUGCCCAGACUCGGAGGAAGAGAGUGGCAUGGCCGGCCAGAAGGGCAGAGUGGGAAGUCUUGAUAAGCUAACUGGCCCCUUCCAUCUUUAAUAUCUAUGAUUCUUUGAAAUUUUAUGUAGACAAGUGCAAGCUAAUGUACACUGGAAGGAACAAUUGAAGCAGCUCAUACUCACUGAUGGGCUCUGAAUUACUCUACUUGUAAGUGCUCAGGAAAAAGAUCUCAGAUUCAUUGUGGAUUGCUCAAUGGAGACAUCUGCUCGCUGUGCAGCAGCAGUCAGAAGAAUGAAUGAGAUAUAAUAGGCCGUAUUAACUUCAAGAAUGGGAUAAAGAAGAAUGCAGAAAAUAAUAUAGUGCACAUAAUUUGGCAUUGACUAUUUCUGUAAUUACAAUAAAACAUUUUAAUGAUAUACAUUGAUGUUAUGACUUCACCUUAAAAUCAGAAUUCAGCAUUGGGUUCUGUCAUUUCAAAGAAAACAAAGCAGAAUUACAAAGGAUCCAGAGAAAAACAACAGGCAAUC